UCCUCGUCCGAUUAUCUAUAGCCAUUCUUUCUUUCUUUCCAGCUUUCUACUUUCAAAUAACUUAUCACACUCAUUUGUUUUGUGUGAUAUACCGAAGAUGCCACCGAAGCACUAUGACGAGAAGAGCGACAUCGUCCCUCCGCACGACAGGGCGGAAGCGCUCGCGAUGGAGUACGAGGAUUCGCAUCACGAGCGUCCUGGCACAAAGAAGCACAACGAGACACCCAGCCACCAGGGCAAGCCGAAGUCUGUGCGUUGAUGACGAAAAAAAAUUGCAAGAAAAAAAAAGAAACGUUUGUGGUGCGGAUGGCAGGAACAGAAGUGCUUGAGUACCAGGCCGUGCUGUUACGUAGGUGUGUGUGGGGGGGGGGGGGCGGUAACUGUUGUUUUAGCGUUCUGCAUUGUCCCUCACAAACCAACUCGAAGGCAAGUAAAUGAAAAGGGUAGCAUUCAGUUGCCGUCUGAAACACUCACAUACAAAAAAAAACGAUUGAGCUCCUAUGAGACGCUUCUACUCGCUUCUCUCCUCUCAAUUUUUAUCGGUUACUCAUUUUUUCCGUGAUGAAUUCGUUCCGCACGCGCACCGGCGACGGCAG
rnacentral:misc_RNA from 1 species